rnacentral:rRNA from 1 species
AUUGAACGCUGGCGGCAUGCUUUACACAUGCAAGUCGAACGGUAACAGGCCUUCGGGUGCUGACGAGUGGCGAACGGGUGAGUAAUGCAUCGGAACGUACCCAGAGGUGGGGGAUAACGCAGCGAAAGCUGUGCUAAUACCGCAUGUGAUCUGAGGAUGAAAGCGGGGGACCGAGCAGCAAUGUUUGGCCUCGCGCCUUUGGAGCGGCCGAUGUCGGAUUAGCUAGUUGGUGGGGUAAAGGCCUACCAAGGCGACGAUCCGUAGCUGGUCUGAGAGGACGAACAGCCACACUGGGACUGAGACACGGCCCAGACUCCUACGGGAGGCAGCAGUGGGGAAUUUUGGACAAUGGGCGCAAGCCUGAUCCAGCAAUGCCGCGUGCGGGAAGAAGGCCUGCGGGUUGUAAACCGCUUUUGGCAGGAACGAAACGGUGUCCGCUAAUACCGGGCGCUAAUGACGGUACCUGCAGAAUAAGCACCGGCUAACUACGU